GACGAACGCUGGCGGCGUGCCUAAUACAUGCAAGUCGAACGAGUGGCGGACGGGUGAGUACCCGUUGGUAACCUACCCAUCAUAGGGGGAUAACACUUGAAAACAGGUGCUAAUACCGCAUACUGAUGGAUGCACCCAUAUGGGAUUAGCUAGUGGGUGGGGUAAAGGCUCACCUAGGCUACGAUCUCUAGCUGGUCUGAGAGGAUGAUCAGCCACACUGGGACUGAGACACGGUCCAGACUCCUACGGGAGGCAGCAGUGGGGAAUAUUGCACAAUGGGCGAAAGCCUGAUGCAGCCAUGCCGCGUGUAUGAAGAAGGUCUUCGGGUUGUAAAGCACUUUCAGCGGGGAGGCGUUACCCGCAGAAGAAGCACCGGCUAACUCCGUGCCAGCAGCCGCGGUAAUAC
rnacentral:rRNA from 1 species